ACAGGGCUAGCGGCGGACGGGUGAGUAACACGUGGGUAACCUGCCCAAGAGAUCGGGAUAACACCUGGAAACAGAUGCUAAUACCGGAUAACAACAGAUGAUGCCUAUCAACUGUUUAAAAGAUGGUUCUGCUAUCACUCUUGGGAUGGACCUGCGGUGCAUUAGCUAGUUGGUAGGGGUAACGGGCCUACCAAGGCGAUGAUGCAUAGCCGAGUUGAGAGACUGAUCGGCCACAUUGGGACUGAGACACGGCCCAAACUCCUACGGGAGGCAGCAGUAGGGAAUCUUCCACAAUGGACGCAAGUCUGAUGGAGCAACGCCGCGUGAGUGAAGAAGGUUUUCGGAUCGUAAAGCUCUGUUGUUGGUGAAGAAGGAUAGAGGUAGUAACUGGCCUUUAUUUGACGGUAAUCAACCAGAAAGUCACGGGCUAACUACGUGCCAGCAGCCGCGGUAAAU
rnacentral:rRNA from 1 species